rnacentral:rRNA from 1 species
UACGUAGGGGGCAAGCGUUGUCCGGAUUUAUUGGGCGUAAAGAGCGUGUAGGCGGCCAUACAGGUCCGUUGUGAAAACUCGAGGCUCAACCUCGAGACGUCGAUGGAAACCGUAUGGCUAGAGUCCGGAAGAGGAGAGUGGAAUUCCUGGUGUAGCGGUGAAAUGCGCAGAUAUCAGGAGGAACACCAAUGGCGAAGGCAGCUCGCUGGAACGGUACUGACGCUGAGGCGCGAAAGCGUGGGGAGCGAACAGG